rnacentral:rRNA from 1 species
UUUAUGGAGAGUUUGAUCCUGGCUCAGGAUGAACGCUGGCGGCGUGCCUAAUACAUGCAAGUCGAGCGAACGGACGAGAAGCUUGCUUCUCUGAUGUUAGCGGCGGACGGGUGAGUAACACGUGGAUAACCUACCUAUAAGACUGGGAUAACUUCGGGAAACCGGAGCUAAUACCGGAUAAUAUUUUGAACCGCAUGGUUCAAAAGUGAAAGACGGUCUUGCUGUCACUUAUAGAUGGAUCCGCGCUGCAUUAGCUAGUUGGUAAGGUAACGGCUUACCAAGGCAACGAUGCAUAGCCGACCUGAGAGGGUGA